UACGAGGGGGGCGAGCGUUGUUCGGAAUUAUUGGGCGUAAAGGGUGCGUAGGCGGUUCGGUAAGUUUCGUGUGAAAUCUUCGGGCUCAACUCGAAGUCUGCACGAAAUACUGCCGGGCUUGAGUGUGGGAGAGGUGAGUGGAAUUUCCGGUGUAGCGGUGAAAUGCGUAGAUAUCAGGAGGAACACCGGUGGCGAAGGCGGAUCUCUGGGCCAUUACUGACGCUGAGGAGCGAAAGCGUGGGGAGCGAACAGG
rnacentral:rRNA from 1 species